UUUAGAUAUCAUUUGGAUCCACUUAAUUUGAUCGUUUUGUUUAGAAAAUGAGUCAUUUAUCGUGUGUUAUCAUUAGUAUAUCUUUAGCUCAUUUAGCACCAGACCAUUUGAUCAUUCUGGAAAAUUCUGUCCAAUAAUCACUUUGUUAAUGGAUUGAGCUAUCUUGCUGUUUUGUUAGGGAAUGGUUCUCUGGGAGUACCUUAGGUUACUUUAUCUACUCUUUCUUUAGACCCUUUGACCUUUGUCUACCAGAUUUUCUUCUCAGAUGAUUUUGUUAUAGUACUUAUUAUCAAGCUAUGGUAAAUCUGGAGUACUAUUACAGUGGGCUAGGAGAGCCAACCAUGUUUAUGGUCAAGUGGAAAUUGAUGAAGUGCGUAAUGAGCUCGCAAGUUAUGUGUUAAAGAACAUCCUCAAGCUGUAAUCUAUGCAGUUGCUCAUGCCCUAAAAGCUGUGAAGUGAAAUAGGCUAGAAAUGUGUUUUUGUGCUCCAAAGUGAUAAUUUAAAGUGCAUUUCUUCACUUAUUUUG
rnacentral:lncRNA from 1 species